rnacentral:rRNA from 1 species
UACGAUUGGCCAUAUCACGUUGAAUCCACUGGAUCUCAUCCGAUCACCGAAGUGAAGUAAUGUCGAGUCUAGUUAAUACACAGAUGGGUGACCGCUUGGGAAACCUGGAUGAAAUAGAGU